CAGACCCCAAUUGCCUUCCCUUAAUUCUGAGGCCAGAAGAUGCCUUGUUUUUGUUGCCUCUUUGAACUCUCAAUAUAAUGUUAGUCAGCUAUACAGCUAUGUAAACUCUGAGACAGUAGUUAGAAACAAAACAAAAACAGCAGACCGAUGAGAGUUUUGGAAUCAACUUAAGUUGUAUUUUUAAACUGUGUUUUCAUUAAAUUUUGGUUCAGCGUUUUGUGAAGUAGUUUUUAGGCAUAUGAAACUUACUAGACAAGAGAUGCACAUGGCAUCCUCUGAGAAUGUGGGACAGAAGCAAUGGACAUACUGCAAACAGGUCAAAAGAUGAAAUGCUGCUUAUAACCCAGCCAAUACAGAAAGGGAAGGUGAUGCUACCUUUGAAGUUAGAGCCAUGUUGGAUGACUUAUCUCAAGACUGGUAUUGAUGAGACACUAAGGCAGUGA
rnacentral:lncRNA from 1 species